GAGUUUGAUCGUGGCUCAGAACGAACGCUGGCGGCAUGCCUAACACAUGCAAGUCGAACGGGAUCCAGGCUUCGGCCUGGUGAGAGUGGCGGACGGGUGAGUAACGCGUGGGAACCUGCCCAAUGGUCUGGGAUAACCGCGGGAAACUGCGGCUAAUACCGGAUAAGCCCGAGAGGGGAAAGAUUUAUCGCCGAUGGAGGGGCCCGCGUCCGAUUAGGUAGUUGGUGAGGUAACGGCUCACCAAGCCGACGAUCGGUAGCUGGUCUGAGAGGAUGAUCAGCCACACUGGGACUGAGAUACGGCCCAGACUCCUACGGGAGGCAGCAGUGGGGAAUAUUGGACAAUGGGGGCAACCCUGAUCCAGCAAUGCCGCGUGAGUGAUGAAGGCCUUAGGGUUGUAAAGCUCUUUUGGCGGGGACGAUGAUGACGGUACCCGCAGAAUAAGCCCCGGCUAACUUCGUGCCAGCAGCCGCCGUAAG
rnacentral:rRNA from 1 species